rnacentral:rRNA from 1 species
GUUAUAUGGUCAAGCGAAUAAGCGCACACGGUGGAUGCCUAGGCGGUCAGAGGCGAUGAAGGACGUGGUAGCCUGCGAAAAGUGUCGGGGAGCUGGCAACAAGCUUUGAUCCGGCAAUAUCCGAAUGGGGAAACCCACUGCUUCGGCAGUAUCCUGCAGUGAAUUCAUAGCUGCUGGAAGCGAACCCGGUGAACUGAAAUAUCUAAGUAACCGGAGGAAAAGAAAUCAACCGAGAUUCCCUGAGUAGUGACGAGCGAACGGGGAACAGCCCUUAAGCUGGAAUGGCUUUAGAAAAACAAUCUGGAAAGAUUGGCCAUAGAAGGUGAUAGCCCUGUAUUUAAAAGGGCCACUCCAGUGAAGACGAGUAGGGCGGGGCACGUGAAACCCUGUCUGAAUAUGGGG